rnacentral:rRNA from 1 species
UGCAGUCGAGCGGUAGCACAGAGAGCUUGCUCUCGGGUGACGAGCGGCGGACGGGUGAGUAAUGUCUGGGAAACUGCCUGAUGGAGGGGGAUAACUACUGGAAACGGUAGCUAAUACCGCAUAACGUCGCAAGACCAAAGUGGGGGACCUUCGGGCCUCAUGCCAUCAGAUGUGCCCAGAUGGGAUUAGCUAGUAGGUGGGGUAACGGCUCACCUAGGCGACGAUCCCUAGCUGGUCUGAGAGGAUGACCAGCCACACUGGAACUGAGACACGGUCCAGACUCCUACGGGAGGCAGCAGUGGGGAAUAUUGCACAAUGGGCGCAAGCCUGAUGCAGCCAUGCCGCGUGUAUGAAGAAGGCCUUCGGGUUGUAAAGUACUUUCAGCGGGGAGGAAGGCGAUAAGGUUAAUAACCUUGUCGAUUGACGUUACCCGCAGAAGAAGCACCGGCUAACUCCGUGCCAGCAGCCGCGGUAAUACGGAGGGUGCAAGCGUUAAUCGGAAUUACUGGGCGUAAAGCGCACGCAGGCGGUCUGUCAAGUCGGAUGUGAAAUCCCCGGGCUCAACCUGGGAACUGCAUUCGAAACUGGCAGGCUAGAGUCUUGUAGAGGGGGGUAGAAUUCCAGGUGUAGCGGUGAAAUGCGUAGAGAUCUGGAGGAAUACCGGUGGCGAAGGCGGCCCCCUGGACAAAGACUGACGCUCAGGUGCGAAAGCGUGGGGAGCAAACAGGAUUAGAUACCCUGGUAGUCCACGCCGUAAACGAUGUCGAUUUGGAGGUUGUGCCCUUGAGGCGUGGCUUCCGGAGCUAACGCGUUAAAUCGACCGCCUGGGGAGUACGGCCGCAAGGUUAAAACUCAAAUGAAUUGACGGGGGCCCGCACAAGCGGUGGAGCAUGUGGUUUAAUUCGAUGCAACGCGAAGAACCUUACCUGGUCUUGACAUCCACAGAACUUAGCAGAGAUGCUUUGGUGCCUUCGGGAACUGUGAGACAGGUGCUGCAUGGCUGUCGUCAGCUCGUGUUGUGAAAUGUUGGGUUAAGUCCCGCAACGAGCGCAACCCUUAUCCUUUGUUGCCAGCGGUCCGGCCGGGAACUCAAAGGAGACUGCCAGUGAUAAACUGGAGGAAGGUGGGGAUGACGUCAAGUCAUCAUGGCCCUUACGACCAGGGCUACACACGUGCUACAAUGGCAUAUACAAAGAGAAGCGACCUCGCGAGAGCAAGCGGACCUCAUAAAGUAUGUCGUAGUCCGGAUUGGAGUCUGCAACUCGACUCCAUGAAGUCGGAAUCGCUAGUAAUCGUAGAUCAGAAUGCUACGGUGAAUACGUUCCCGGGCCUUGUACACACCGCCCGUCACACCAUGGGAGUGGGUUGCAAAAGAAGUAGGUAGCUUAACCUUCGGGAGGGC